UACGUAGGGUGCAAGCGUUAAUCGGAAUUACUGGGCGUAAAGCGUGCGCAGGCGGUUAUGCAAGACAGAUGUGAAAUCCCCGGGCUUAACCUGGGAACUGCGCUUGUAACUGGCAAGCUAGAGUGAGGCAGAGGGGGGUGGAAUUCCACGUGUAGCAGUGAAAUGCGUAGAGAUGUGGAGGAACACCGAUGGCGAAGGCAGCCCCCUGGGCUAACACUGACGCUCAUGCACGAAAGCGUGGGGAGCAAACAGG
rnacentral:rRNA from 1 species